rnacentral:rRNA from 1 species
UACAGAGGGGGCAAGCGUUAUUCGGAAUUAUUGGGCGUAAAGGGCGCGUAGGCGGCCUGGCAAGUGGAAGGUGAAAUCCCUCGGCUUAACCGAGGAACUGCCCUCCAAACUGCUUGGCUUGAGACCGGGAGAGGUGAGUGGAAUUCCCAGUGUAGCGGUGAAAUUCGUAGAUAUUCGGAAGAACACCAGUGGCGAAGGCGACACACUGGCCCAUUACUGACGCUGAGGCUCGAAAGCGUGGGGAGCAAACAGG